GCUCCGUGAUGAUUGCCCCAUGCGUGUCAUCUGACCUCGUGCCCCGGUUUUCUCUCCCGGCCAGCGUUCUGCUGGGCAGGUGGAGGAAUCCCGGGGAUCAAGGGAAGUGAUCAUACCCGAAUACGUCCCUGAGACC